rnacentral:rRNA from 1 species
UACGGAGGAUCCGAGCGUUAUCCGGAUUUAUUGGGUUUAAAGGGUGCGCAGGCGGGGGAUUAAGUCGGCGGUGAAAUUUUGCAGCUCAACUGUAAAAGUGCCUUCGAAACUGGUUUCCUUGAGUGUAGAUGAAGUAGGCGGAAUUUGUGGUGUAGCGGUGAAAUGCAUAGAUAUCACGAGGAACUCCGAUUGCGCAGGCAGCUUACUAAACUACUACUGACGCUCAGGCACGAAGGCGUGGGGAUCAAACAGGAUUAGAUACCCGCGUAGUCCCU